UACGAAGGGUGCAAGCGUUAAUCGGAAUUACUGGGCGUAAAGGGUGCGUAGGCGGUUGUUUAAGUCUGCCGUGAAAUCCCCGGGCUCAACCUGGGAAUGGCGGUGGAUACUGGAUAGCUAGAGUGUGUCAGAGGAUGGUGGAAUUCCCGGUGUAGCGGUGAAAUGCGCAGAUAUCGGGAAGAACACCCGUGGCGAAGGCGGCUCUCUGGGGACGGUACUGGACGCUGAGACGCGAAAAGCGUGGGGGAGCGAACAGGG
rnacentral:rRNA from 1 species